AAGGUAGCGAAAUUCCUUGUCGGGUAAGUUCCGACCUGCACGAAUGGCGUAACGACUUCCCCACUGUCUCCAGCACAUCCUCAGUGAAAUUGAAUUCCCCGUGAAGAUGCGGGGUUCCUGCGGUUAGACGGAAAGACCCCGUGCACCUUUACUGCAACUUUGCACUGGCAAACGUGUUUGCAUGUGUAGAAUAGGUGGUAGGCUUUGAAGCAGGGGCGCCAGCUCUUGUGGAGCCGAAAUGUGAAAUACCACCCUUAUGAACAUGUUUGUCUAACCGCGGACCGUCAUCCGGUUCCGGGACAGAGCAUGGUGGGCAGUUUGACUGGGGCGGUCGCCUCCUAAAUCGUAACGGAGGCGCACGAUGGUGGGCUCAGGUUGGUCGGAAAUCAACCGUCGAGUGCAAUGGCAUAAGCCUGCCUGACUGCGAGACUGACAAGUCGAGCAGAGUCGAAAGACGGUCAUAGUGAUCCGGUGGUCCUGUGUGGAAGGGCCAUCGCUCAACGGAUAAAAGGUACGCCGGGG
rnacentral:rRNA from 1 species